UACAGAGGUCUCGAGCGUUAGGCGGAAUCACUGGGCUUAAAGCGCACGUAGGCGGCUUUGUAAGUUAGAGGUGAAAGCCCAGGGCUUAACCCUGGAAUUGCCUUUAAGACUGCAUCGCUAGAAUUGUGGAGAGGUAAGUGGAAUUCCGAGUGUAGAGGUGAAAUUCGUAGAUAUUCGGAAGAACACCAGUGGCGAAGGCGACUUACUGGACACAUAUUGACGCUGAGGUGCGAAAGCGUGGGGAGCAAACAGG
rnacentral:rRNA from 1 species